UGUUAGGACAAUGGAGGCACCACAGCCAGAGAAAGGGUGGACCCGACAUAGAGCAAGAAUCCUGAACGAGUCAGCAUCUUUUCAGAAUGUGGCCAACAACUGGAAGAAGGCCAGCUACACUUCUGACAUAAACUCAGAACCUGAAAUUGCUGGAAAAAAGAUUCCCAA